rnacentral:piRNA from 1 species
UAGCCAUCAACAUUUCCCUUUUCGCCC